UUAGAGUACAUUUUUUUAGUUGGCUUAGUUCUCUUUUAUUAUACAGUUUGAUCAGAGACAGAAGUCUAUGGGCCUCCCUACUAGUGAUGAGCUCCAGAAACAGGAAAUCUUAAAGAAAUUUAUGAGCGAGCAUCCAGAGAUGGACUUCUCAAGGGCAAAAGUAUCAUAAAAUGGUGCUACAAUACCGCUGUGCUUCUAUGGUUUUUGGAAUGAUCUCGGAUACAGGGUUGUACUUUUGUUGUUGUAACAGUGGUACUAGUGUUUGGUGAUUUCUAUGGUUUUGAACAUCAUGAGUUUUAUGAUAAAAUGUUAUCUUUUAUUUGGCCUUCUGAA